rnacentral:rRNA from 1 species
AGACCCGAAACCCGGUGAUCUAGCCAUGGGCAGGUUGAAGGUUGGGUAACACUAACUGGAGGACCGAACCGACUAAUGUUGAAAAAUUAGCGGAUGACCUGUGGCUGGGGGUGAAAGGCCAAUCAAACCGGGAGAUAGCUGGUUCUCCCCGAAAGCUAUUUAGGUAGCGCCUCGUGAAUUCAUCUCCGGGGGUAGAGCACUGUUUCGGCUAGGGGGCCAUCCCGGCUUACCAACCCGAUGCAAACUGCGAAUACCGGAGAAUGUUAUCACGGGAGACACACGGCGGGUGCUAACGUCCGUCGUGAAGAGGGAAACAACCCAGACCGCCAGCUAAGGUCCCAAAGUCAUGGUUAAGUGGGAAACGAUGUGGGAAGGCCCAGACAGCCAGGAUGUUGGCUUAGAAGCAGCCAUCAUUUAAAGAAAGCGUAAUAGCUCACUGGUCGAGUCGGCCUGCGCGGAAGAUGUAACGGGGCUAAACCAUGCACCGAAGCUGCGGCAGCGAACGUAUCACUUAAAGCGAUUCAGCGGGUUACGAUUGACGGAGCGAAGCGACGUCAAAGCGUAUACAAAGUCGAGUCGGUUUAAGGAUACGUUCGUUGGGUAGGGGAGCGUUCUGUAAGCCUGCGAAGGUGGCCUGUGAGGGUUGCUGGAGGUAUCAGAAGUGCGAAUGCUGACAUAAGUAACGAUAAAGCGGGUGAAAAGCCCGCUCGCCGGAAGACCAAGGGUUCCUGUCCAACGUUAAUCGGGGCAGGGUGAGUCGACCCCUAAGGCGAGGCCGAAAGGCGUAGUCGAUGGGAAACGGGUUAAUAUUCCCGUACUUGGUGUUACUGCGAAGGGGGGACGGAGAAGGCUAUGUUGGCCGGGCGACGGUUGUCCCGGUUUAAGCGUGUAGGUGUGUGUUCCAGGUAAAUCCGGUUCACUUUAACACUGAGGCGUGAUGACGAGGCACUACGGUGCUGAAGCAACAAAUGCCCUGCUUCCAGGAAAAGCCUCUAAGCAUCAGGUAACAUCAAAUCGUACCCCAAACCGACACAGGUGGUCAGGUAGAGAAUACCAAGGCGCUUGAGAGAACUCGGGUGAAGGAACUAGGCAAAAUGGUGCCGUAACUUCGGGAGAAGGCACGCUGACACGUAGGUGAAGUGAUUUACUCAUGGAGCUGAAGUCAGUCGAAGAUACCAGCUGGCUGCAACUGUUUAUUAAAAACACAGCACUGUGCAAACACGAAAGUGGACGUAUACGGUGUGACGCCUGCCCGGUGCCGGAAGGUUAAUUGAUGGGGUCAGCGCAAGCGAAGCUCCUGAUCGAAGCCCCGGUAAACGGCGGCCGUAACUAUAACGGUCCUAAGGUAGCGAAAUUCCUUGUCGGGUAAGUUCCGACCUGCACGAAUGGCGUAAUGAUGGCCAGGCUGUCUCCACCCGAGACUCAGUGAAAUUGAACUCGCUGUGAAGAUGCAGUGUACCCGCGGCAAGACGGAAAGACCCCGUGAACCUUUACUAUAGCUUGACACUGAACAUUGAGCCUUGAUGUGUAGGAUAGGUGGGAGGCUUUGAAGUGUGGACGCCAGUCUGCAUGGAGCCGACCUUGAAAUACCACCCUUUAAUGUUUGAUGUUCUAACGUGGACCCGU